rnacentral:rRNA from 1 species
UACGGAGGGGGCGAGCGUUAUUCGGAAUUAUUGGGCGUAAAGGGCGCGUAGGCAGCCUACUAAGUCGGACGUGAAAUCCCAAGGCUUAACCUUGGAACUGCGUCGGAUACUGGAUGGCUUGAAUCCGGGAGAGGGAUGCGGAAUUCCAGGUGUAGCGGUGAAAUGCGUAGAUAUCUGGAGGAACACCGGUGGCGAAGGCGGGUCUCUGGGGCCGAUACUGACGCUGAGGAGCGAAAGCGUGGGGAGCGAACAGG